ACUGAUGCCCUCUCUCACUCUGUCUUUCGUCUUCUUGUUUUAAAGUGUCUUAAUGGCUAGGAUUGAUUUUUAUGGACACUAUGUAAGUGAACCUUGCAAGGGGCUCAUGGCUUCUACAUGCCAAUCUGCCACACAUUUGUGAGAUCCAAGCUGCUCAACAAGAGGGUCCCAUUGUCUAAAUGCGGUGGCCCAAAAGCCUUUCUGUUUUAGAAAGACGGGUUAACUGAAGGAUUUCUAAAGAUUUUGUUGCUGCAUUGUUGAUUAAAAGAAUGAUGUAGUUUUUUGCUGAUGUAAUUGGAUAUUGGCGAUGUGCAGCUAAUUCACAAGAAGAUGCAAAGACUGCAAAGGAAGGCAUACAACAGCAAGACAGCAACUCGGAAAUCUAUGGCAAGAUGCAAGUAAUGUUCAUAGAAAUGGACAAAAGCCCCGCUGUCCGUGAAGCUUGAGAGGCGGCAUCAGAAAGUGGUAGACUAGAUGUUGAGUUGAUUCUUGGCGGGGAAGCUACCAGGAGGCCAAGAAAUAGCUGUGAAAUGACUUUCUAGGAGUUCCAGACAAAGCUUAGACAAAGCUUAGAAGAGUUCGAGAAUGAAGUUAUAUUGAUUGCAAAGCUUCAACACAGGAAUCUAGUCAAGCUCAUAGGUUAUUGCAUUUAAGGCGAUGAAAAGAUGCUUCUCUAUAAGUACAUACCCAAGAAAAGAUGAUGUCCUUUCCUUUUUAUUUUUAUCAUUAUUGUAAUUAAUUCAUUAUUGAAUGAAUGAUGAUG